AAUUAACUAUGUAAAGAAUGUCUUUUCCUGUGAUCCUCUCAAGUACAAAAAUCACCAUCUGAAAAGAUUUUAUUCGUUAUAAUUGCAUAAACGUCCAUUAAUUAUGUAUUCUAUUCUCCAUAAUCUGGCUAUACGAAGUAACAUAUCUUUGUUUUGUCGUGCACAAACAACAGGAUUUCUUAUACUCAAUUAAAUAAUCUGUUGCAAUCUCAGGGAAGUAGAAGAGUGGAGAAUCUCAGACGAUGUACUAUUCAGUAUUAGUGAAAUCGCUGGUGCGGGAUACUUGGGAUAACGGCGCACAAUAACUGUAGAUAAGAACUCUUGCAGCUAAAAAGCAAAAACAACUUGCUUUACAGAUAUCAAUAUGAAGUUGGUCAGCAAGCCCUGCUCCUAUUCUUGCUAAUGGAGAGCUAAGAUAUUAGAAAGAAUAACAAAGGGAGGGGGGGGAGAGGAGAGCAGUUGUUUUGUGGAUAAUUGAACCUGAAAUGACACAAAUUGAGAGGAAAUGUAAGAACUAAUCAAAGACUAAGCAAAAUUAUAGUGUUGAAUUGAUGAGAGAAUUCCUGGUAUGACAUCAUAACCACGGAAAUUUUAUCGGAAAGUACUAUAACGUUCAUUUCAUGGUAUGUUAUAUCUCAUUUGUACU